UUGAGACCUACACCCUAGUAUCUUGGUUUUAUUGGUGUUACCUGGAGUUAUUGCCCAAAGCCUGUAGUACCUAAAACUUUGACAUCAAUACUGCUUCACUUAUCUUAAAAAACAGUGUGUGUGUGUGGUUUUUUUUCAUAAUGUUGGGAUAGUUUACAGUUACAUAUGUAAAGGAAAGUAAUGCAAGUAAUAUUGUUAGGAAAUGCAUAAGCAGGGGGAAAAAUAAUAGGGGAGAAAAAGAAGACUAUUGUGAUAGUUUUCAUUAAAAGCAAACAUUUUUACAUCACUAUUAUAUUUUUUUUUUUCCCCAAACAAUCCUACAGCAAUCCUGUACAGCUCCUUAAAGUAACCUUUCAUUUCUUGCAGAAUUUUUACCUUCUUCAUCAGCAGAAAUCCCAGUGGCAAACACAUAGAUCCUGAAGAUCAGAUUUGAUUCAGUAAGCAUCCACAGGAAUUAAUGGGAAUGUGGAGAUAGAAUUGAGAGCUGAAGACUGUCUGAGAAAAUUCGGAAAACCCAGGUAGAGUGACAGGUGUACAAGAAAUGGAAUAAUCUAACCUGAGAGUGUGCAAGCAUUCUGGAAAUACAAAACCUAAGGAUUCUGUCUAUGUGGUUUUUUGUAUUCUCACCAGUGGCCACAGUCCUCCAAGGAUUGAUGGGUGAAUGCUGCGAGGUGGUCCAGGCGACUCUAUGGAACAUUCUCCAAUGGGCUAGUAGAAUGAGAAGAUCCAAAAGUAGUUUGGAAAACAAGGAGAAACAUCACCUCUCAUGACGGUAAACUUACCGAGAAGGUAAUUCAUGUUAGACUGUUGUUGCACAGCCCGCUCUUAAAGCUCAUGUAUGUAACAUGUAGCAGAAAACUAGUAGGGAAUGCUGUUUGAAUUUUCAUACUAAGUCCUCUGACUUUCUACCCCUUUCCUUGUGUGAGGGAGAAUUUGGAGGCUAUAUUUUAUGGAACUUUUCUUGCUUUCCCUUGAAAUUGUGCAAGAGCAUAAAUAAAAAAUUUACAGUGACUUAACA
rnacentral:lncRNA from 1 species